UACGAAGGGGGCUAGCGUUGCUCGGAAUUACUGGGCGUAAAGGGCGCGUAGGCGGCGCUGCAAGUCAGGCGUGAAAUUCCUGGGCUUAACCUGGGGGCUGCGCUUGAGACUGUGGUGCUAGAGGAUGGAAGAGGCUCGUGGAAUUCCCAGUGUAGAGGUGAAAUUCGUAGCUAUUGGGAAGAACACCGGUGGCGAAGGCGGCGAGCUGGUCCAUUACUGACGCUGAGGCGCGACAGCGUGGGGAGCAAACAGG
rnacentral:rRNA from 1 species